rnacentral:rRNA from 1 species
UUAAUGUAAUUCUUAAUUGAGUUUAAAAGUUACGGGUAUUAAUUGGUAACCAAGUGAGGUACUAAAAAAUACUUAUAUAAACUUGGCUCUGAUUUUAUGUAUGGCAGAAACUAAUAAAUACACAUGGUUUUUAUUGAAAGAGGCGAGGUAAGAAGUAGUAAUAAAGUAGUUAAUAACGAACAUUUAUUUUACUUCUUAAGAUAUUAUAUAGUAAAUAAUGUCUUGAAAUUUCCCGCUAACACCAGUGUUGGAGCUUAAUUUAAAAAGCGAAAGCUUGUAUUAGCUUAGUAAAUAAAAUUUGGUUAAUUUGGUGCCAGCAUCCGCGGUUAUACCAAAAAAUUAAGUCAUACCACUCCGGUAAAAAGACAGUUAGACAUGUUAAAUAGUCUAUAAAAUAUUGAUAUAAAGGUAAAAUUUGUAUAUCAGUUAGUAAUUUAAUAAUGACCUUAAAUGUUGAAUCUGUGACAGCUUUGAGGGAAACUGGGAUUGGAUACCCCACUAUUCUUAGCUGUAAACUUGAUUAGCUUGAUUUACCAGAGCACUACGAACUAAAAAUUUAAAACUCAAAGGGCUUGGCGGUGUUUUAGACCAUUCAGGGGAACCUGUCUCAUAAUCGACAAUCCACGUUAAACCUGACCUUUUUUCGUAAUCAGCCCGUAUACCGUCGUCGUCAGGUAACUUCUAAAAAUUUAAAAGUUAGCUAGAAAACUACUAAUAAGUUAAAACGUCAGAUCAGGGUGCAGCCUAUAAAAAGGGGAGGAUGGGUUACAAUUAAAUAUUCUUAACUACGGAAAGUUAUUCAGAAAGAUAACUUGAAGGAGGACUUGAAAGUAAUUUUUUUUACAUAAAUUAUAUGAAUUAGGCUCUGAAACGUGCACACAUCGCCCGUCGCUCUCGUUAAAAAAUGAGAUAAGUCGUAACAUAGUAGGGGUAAUGGAAAUUGUCCCUGGAU